GAUGAACGCUGGCGGCGUGCUUAAUACAUGCAAGUCGAGCGAACGGACGCGAAGCUUGCUUUUCUGUUGUUAGCGGCGGACGGGUGUGUAACAUGUGGAUAACCUACCUAUCAGACUGGGAUCACUUCGGGAAACCGGAGCUAAUCCCGGAUGAUAUCUUGAACCGCAUGGUUCAAAAGUGAAAGUCGGUCUUGCUGUAACUUCUAGAUGGUUCUGCGCUGCAUUGGCUAGUUGGUAAGGUAACGGCUUACCAAGGCAACUAUGCAUAGCCGACCUGAGAGGGUGAUCGGCCACACUGGAACUGAGACGCGGUCCAUGCUCCUACGGGAGGCAGCAGUAUGGAAUCUUCCGCAAUAGGCGAGAGCCUGACGGAGCAACGCCGCGUGAGUGAUGAAGGUCUUCGGAGCGUAAAACUCUGUUAUGAGGGAAGAACAUAUGUGUAAGUAACUGUGCACAUCUUGACGGUACCUAAUCAGAAAGCCACGGCUAACUACGUG
rnacentral:rRNA from 1 species